rnacentral:lncRNA from 1 species
UAAAACUUUUAUCACUUAUAUGUUGCAUUAGGUGAUAGGAGUUGAGUGAUGAAACAAUUGAUGCAAUGCCAUUCCUUGGAAUUUGAUUACUAUUCCUUGAUUCCUGUUUAUAAAAGAGAACUAAAGAUGCUUAGCCCUGCUUAGAUAAUUAAAAGUUGUUUCUUUUAAAAAGAUGAUGUGUUACACGGGAUAUGGGAAAUUGUUGUGAAAAAGAAAUUGGGAUGGUGAAUCCAUAUGGCCAUGAUGGAUUCAACAUCCAGAAAAAGUACCUCUGUCAGGUACCAAGGAUUGGGAAAUGGUUUAACUAAAAUGAGACCAGACGUUGAGCAGGAAAGGUCGCCCGUCUGUGUCGAUUAAGGACCGUUCCGAUUGUUGGCCUGCUGAUCUAGGACCCUUUAACUGGCCACAUGCCUCAUCAUGGGUAAGCUUAGCCUCGGUCGGACCAAUACCAGAACAGCUCGCACGCACUGGGAGUGGAGAGAUGGCGAGAGUAGCUUGUACCCUCCGUGGCAAGAGACUGGAAGGUGGGGUGCUGUACUCUCGGAAACAUGGCGGGCACCAUGGCGAGAGUAACGUGUACCAACCAGGCCAACGGCUGGAAGGUGGGGUGCUGUACUCUCGGAAACAUGGCGGGCACCAUGGCGAGAGUAACGUGUACCAACCAGGCCAACGGCUGGAAGGUGGGGUGCUGUACUCUCGGAAACAUGGCGGGCACCAUGGCGAGAGUAACGUGUACCAACCAGGCCAAUGGCUGGACGGUGGAGUACUGUGCUCUCGGGUCGCGUGAACCUGUUUUGGUCUUGAGAAACCCGUGGGCGAGUUGACAUAUGCAAGGGUUAAGUGCUACAUAUGUCGUGUGGUUGGAGAUCCCCAGCUGGGUAUUAAUCGAUUCGGAUCGCCGUUACUUCUCGGAUAUGAAGACUGGAUCACUGCCCUGCAUCGUAGAUAACAAGUGAAACUAAAGUUGAUAAAAGGAAGCUAGUGUAGGACAAGUGAAUGCUCUAGAUUAGGCAAAUCUAGAUUCAGGAAAAGUACUUAACUUGUGAAGUAAAAUUUUGGCAUAAGGAUCCACUACUAGUAUGCUUUUCUGCAAAAACGAGUCUUUGAAAUUUGAUGAGCCUUACCUUGAUUCCCAAUAAACCAGCAUACCCUUGAGAGUCUUUCCUUUAGUCGGGUAAGUCUUGCUGAGUAAUUGCGUACUCAGGGUUUUAUUCCCUGUUGUUUUUCAG